rnacentral:lncRNA from 1 species
AUGAAGCCAAUGACUUAUAGUAUGGAACAAAAAGAUCUAUGUGCUUGGGCUGGGCUAGGGGAUACAGAACCCCCCCUUGAAUCUCACUUGACUCCAUGGAGUGGCAGGGAACAGGUGAACAUGAAGAAAAGAAAACCUCUUUUCCAAAAUUUGCUAUUCCAAAUAUCUCAUAGUCCAGGAUACAGAAAUUAUUUCAGAAGUGCACACAUGACUCAAACAGAACCAACCUAUGAACAAUCUGGUCUCACUUUUUGUUGCCUACUGGUGGAUACCCCAAGACUCCAAAACAUAAAAUGACAAGAUACAAACGAAGGCAUCAUUAGCCCAGGAUUACAAUAGAUGUCGUGCCCUGCUUGAAGCCAGGGCUCUUGAACCUUGAGUCUUUGUGUCACUCUUCAGAUUCCUUUGGUUCUACUGAUAGCCAUCUCUCUCUGACUCCUCCUCUUCCUUUUCCUCCUCCUCCUUCUCCUUCUUUCAUUCUUCAUUAUCUAUCUGAUUAUUGACCGCACACACAUGCUGAGUUCAUAGAAAUUUCCAAGGCUUCCCUGAAAGAUACAGACAGUUGACAGGUUCCCUGCUUCUGAAAAAGCUCCCAGUUUAGUUGGGAGAAUAAGAAACCCCAUGAGACCUCAUGAAGCAACCAGUGCACCUGUGCUGAGCAUCAAGUGAAAUUUGCAUACAAACCCUAGUGAUAACCAGGUCUUAGGGCAUUGAGAGCCUCCUUGGACAGUGAUGGAGAGAUUUGUCCACCUCCUGACCAGGUGGAAACUCAGUCCAGGGCUUCCGGAAACUUGAAGGGUCAUUGAAAAGGCUCAAAGGUCAAGGUGGUCAUGCCAGCUUUUAAUGGCACAAGAAUUUCUUCUCUUUUGACCACUCAAUUGCAAAAAUUUUUUCAGAGCUGAAAACUAGAAGGAAUGCUGUCAUUAUAUGGACUAAGAGGGGGCCUUUCAGAGAGGGCCUCCAACUAAUCCAGCAGUAACCCAGAAAUAAACAACCAUAUCCAAGAACUCA